rnacentral:rRNA from 1 species
GAAGAAGCACCGGCUAACUCCGUGCCAGCAGCCGCGGUAAUACGGAGGGUGCGAGCGUUAAUCGGAAUUACUGGGCGUAAAGCGCAUGCAGGUGGUUUGUUAAGUCAGAUGUGAAAGCCCGGGGCUCAACCUCGGAAUAGCAUUUGAAACUGGCAGACUAGAGUACUGUAGAGGGGGGUAGAAUUUCAGGUGUAGCGGUGAAAUGCGUAGAGAUCUGAAGGAAUACCGGUGGCGAAGGCGGCCCCCUGGACAGAUACUGACACUCAGAUGCGAAAGCGUGGGGAGCAAACAGGAUUAGAUACCCUGGUAGUCCACGCCGUAAACGAUGUCUACUUGGAGGUUGUGGCCUUGAGCCGUGGCUUUCGGAGCUAACGCGUUAAGUAGACCGCCUGGGGAGUACGGUCGCAAGAUUAAAACUCAAAUGAAUUGACGGGGGCCCGCACAAGCGGUGGAGCAUGUGGUUUAAUUCGAUGCAACGCGAAGAACCUUACCUACUCUUGACAUCCAGAGAACUUUCCAGAGAUGGAUUGGUGCCUUCGGGAACUCUGAGACAGGUGCUGCAUGGCUGUCGUCAGCUCGUGUUGUGAAAUGUUGGGUUAAGUCCCGCAACGAGCGCAACCCUUAUCCUUGUUUGCCAGCGAGUAAUGUCGGGAACUCCAGGGAGACUGCCGGUGAUAAACCGGAGGAAGGUGGGGACGACGUCAAGUCAUCAUGGCCCUUACGAGUAGGGCUACACACGUGCUACAAUGGCGCAUACAGAGGGCGGCCAACUUGCGAAAGUGAGCGAAUCCCAAAAAGUGCGUCGUAGUCCGGAUUGGAGUCUGCAACUCGACUCCAUGAAGUCGGAAUCGCUAGUAAUCGUGGAUCAGAAUGCCACGGUGAAUACGUUCCCGGGCCUUGUACACACCGCCCGUCACACCAUGGGAGUGGGCUGCAAAAGAAGUAGGUAGUUUAACCUUCGGGGGGACGCUUACCACUUUGUGGUUCAUGACUGGGGUGAAGUCGUAACAAGGUAGCGCUAGGGGAACCUGGCGCUGGAUCACCUCCUU